GAUGAACGCUGGCGGCGUGCUUAACACGUGCAAGUCGAACGAUGAAAGCGGGAGCUUGCUCCUGCUGGAUUAGUGGCGAACGGGUGAGUAACACGUGAGCAACCUGCCCCGAACUCUGGGAUAAGCGUUGGAAACGACGUCUAAUACCGGAUACGACGCGCGAAGGCAUCUUCUGCGCGUGGAAAGAAUUUCGGUUCGGGAUGAGCUCGCGGCCUAUCAGCUAGUUGGUGAGGUAACGGCUCACCAAGGCGACGACGGGUAGCCGGCCUGAGAGGGUGACCGGCCAAACUGGGACUGAGACACGGCCCAGACUCCUACGGGAGGCAGCAGUGGGGAAUAUUGCACAAUGGGCGAAAGCCUGAUGCAGCAACGCCGCGUGAGGGACGACGGCCUUCGGGUUGUAAACCUCUUUUAGUAGGGAAGAAGCGAAAGUGACGGUACCUGCAGAAAAAGCACCGGCUAACUACGUGCCAGCAGCCGCAGUAAAAC
rnacentral:rRNA from 1 species